rnacentral:rRNA from 1 species
UACGUAGGGUGCAAGCGUUAAUCGGAAUACUGGGCGUAAAGCGUGCGCAGGCGGUUAUGUAAGACAGAUGUGAAAUCCCCGGGCUCAACCAAGGAAGUGCAUCCGAAACUGCUGAGCUUGAGUACUUAAGAGGAUCGCGGAAUUCCCGGUGUAGAGGUGAAAUUCGUAGAUAUCGGGAGGAACACCAGUGGCGAAGGCGGCGAUCUGGGAAGAUACUGACGCUGAGGUGCGAAAGCGUGGGGAGCAAACAGGAUUAGAUACCGUC